UACAGAACUCCUGCUCAUUACAAUGAUCACAUUUUGUGAGUUUGAUUAUCUUCAUGGAAUCUAUCAGAUUAAAAAAUUACAGAAAGACUGAAAGAAGUAAUUCUAGGAAUAAAUUACAGGAAGACAGAGUAGUCCUUUGAAAGUGC
rnacentral:lncRNA from 1 species